rnacentral:misc_RNA from 1 species
AACGUAGGGGGCGAGCGUUGCCCGGAUUCACUGGGCGUAAAGCGCGUGUAGGCGGUCUUCCAAGUCGGAUGUGAAAUCUCCGGGCUCAACCCGGAAAUUGCAUCCGAUACUGGUCGACUUGAGGACGGUAGAGGUCGGUGGAAUUCCCGGUGUACCGGUGAAAUGGGCAGAUAUCGGGAGGAACACCAGUGGCGAAGGCGGCCGACUGGGCCGUUCCUGACGCUGAGACGCGAAAGCCAGGGGAGCGAACCGG